UACGUAGGGGGCAAGCGUUGUCCGGAUUUAUUGGGCGUAAAGAGCGUGUAGGCGGCCAGGUAGGUCGGUUGUGAAAACUGGAGGCUCAACCUUCAGACAUCGACCGAAACCCCCUGGCUAGAGUCCGGAAGAGGAGAGUGGAAUUCCUGGUGUAGCGGUGAAAUGCGCAGAUAUCAGGAAGAACACCCGUGGCGAAGGCGGCUCUCUGGGACGGUACUGACGCUGAGACGCGAAAGCGUGGGGAGCGAACAGG
rnacentral:rRNA from 1 species